AGACUGAAGGAGAAACAUCAUAGAUGUGCUUGUGUGGCCAAGCCAGGCCAACUCUGAAAAGGCCAUCUUUUGCAGGGAUCUUGCAUCCUUAACCCCAGGUUAUAUGGAGGACUGACUGUGGACAAAUGUCAGCAAGCUGGAAGAAGCAAAGACCACUAGGAUUGAAAUGAUGAUCAUCCGCCAUCAACUCUGCUGGUCUGGCCACAUUGUCCGAAUGCCCGAUUACCAUCAACCAAAGCAGUUACUCUACUCUCAAUUGAAGAAUGGGAAAUUGAAGACCAGCACAUGGGAAACUUCGUGGGAUUGUGACUUCCUUUUUCUGAAAGACCAGGUAUGAAAUUCGCCUCUUACUCAUGGAGAUCCCAUCAAUGCAGGCCAGAGUCCCUUCCUCGUGUCCACCUGUCUUACUGCUUCCCCUGUAUUGCUUAGAGGAAAGGGCAGAGUUUUGCUUUUCCAAGUAGUUUCAGGCAAAAGCAAACUGCUUCAGCCUCUCCUAGGUUGUCUAUUUCUCCUCAUUAAUGUUUUGCCAUUUUUAGCAACAAUAAAAGCAUUUGUGGGCAUACAUUGAGGCAGUCUAGAUCAUUUUUUUACAAGAGUAAGUUGGAUGUUUUAUUUUUUCCCCUAAGAUAAUAAUUCUC